rnacentral:rRNA from 1 species
UACAGGGGGUGCAAACGUUGCUCGGAAUCAUUGGGCGUAAAGCGCACGUAGGCGGUUCGUUAUGUCGGAUGUGAAAGCCCUUGGCUUAACCGAGGAAGUGCAUCCGAAACUGGCGAGCUAGAGUACGAAAGAGGAUCGCGGAAUUCCCGGUGUAGAGGUGAAAUUCGUAGAUAUCGGGAGGAACACCGGUGGCGAAGGCGACACGCUGGGCCGUACCUGACACUGAACCGCGACAGCAUGGGGAGCAAACAGG